CAUUACCGAGUAACGGGUCCUCUGGGCCCGAACUCCAACCCUCUGCCUACACUACCGACGAAGCUGCUUCGGCGGGCUUAAACCCCCCGCCGGCAGCCUAUCAAACCCUUGCUUUUUGGAUGUACUGUCUGAACGCAAACGAUUAAUAAAUCAAAACUUUCAACAACGGAUCUCUUGGUUCUGGCAUCGAUGAAGAGCGCAGCGAAAUGCGAUAAGUAAUGUGAAUUGCAGAAUUCAGUGAAUCAUCGAAUCUUUGAACGCACAUUGCGCCCCUUGGUAUUCCGAGGGGCAUGCCUGCUCGAGCGCCAUUUCAAACCUCAAGCUCUGCUUGGUAUUGGGCGCGGUUCCCCCCACCUCUCGGGGGGCUGACCCGCCUCAAAGACCUCGGCGGCGUCGUCCGGCUUCGAGCGUAGUGGAACUCUAAUCGGUCUCGCUUUGGAAGCUUCGGGCGGUCGCCUCGCCGCGAAAAACACCCAUUUUUUCACAAGUUUGACCUCGGAUCAGGUAGGGAUACCC
rnacentral:rRNA from 1 species